AUACGGAGGGUGCAAGCGUUACUCGGAAUCACUGGGCGUAAAGCGUACGUAGGCGGACUGAUCAGUUGGGGGUGAAAUCCCAGGGCUUAACCCUGGAACUGCCUUCAAUACUGUCAGUCUUGAGAUUGGAAGAGGUGAGUGGAAUUCCUAGUGUAGAGGUGAAAUUCAUAGAUAUUAGGAGGAACACCAGUGGCGAAGGCGGCUCACUGGUCCAAUACUGACGCUGAGGUACGAAAGCGUGGGGAGCAAACAGGAUUAGAAACCCUAGUAGUCC
rnacentral:rRNA from 1 species